GGGGCGCCGGGAGCUCCCGACGGCUCCAGAGCUCCGGCCGCGCGGAGGGACCCCCGCCCCCGCCCCCGCCGCGCCGGGCCGGGCCGGGCCGUGGAGGGAGGUGCGCCUUCUCGUCCAACCUUCUCGUCCAACCGGGCCGGCCCCCGGGUCUCGCCACCCCCCACCACCACCCCGGGCUGUGGGGCUCCCAGCUCAGCUCGGGGGCGCUCAGGCCUCCCUCCCCAGGACCCUCUGGAAUCCCCGCCCCAUCCGAGCCUCGGCUUCCUCCCAGGCGGGGCCGCGGGCCGGGGGCCCCCACGCCCGAAGGGUUCGCGGGCCAGGCAGGCGACCUCCCCGAACUUCCGUUUCCCCCUGUGGCUCCGCACCCCGAAGCCAGAUAGAGUCGGUGCCCCUCCUCGCAGGCGGCUGGCACCGGACCACCGCCGUGGGGUGGACGCCAGUCCGGGGGCGCCCCCCAUCCCACACCGGCCGUCCCUGGCCCACGGGGUGGGCGGAUCCCAGCUGGUCCCUAGUAAGUGCUUCGAGCCCCAUUUUCGCAUCUGUCGCACGGAAAGAGCUAGCUCAAGUUUGCGGCUGUGCCAGGGAGUGUGGCUGUUGGUGGCGGCCACCCAGCGGGGACCACAGGAACACUUUCUACCCAGGAGACUUUGAAAUGACACUCCCAGUCUCCUGGGGUACAGGAGACUGACACAGUAGCGACCUUGGGCCCAUGGGGACUGAGAGCAGAGUGAGGGUCACCGGCUCCCAGGUAGCGGGCAGUUCGCAGGGCAGCGUGGGCCUCCCAGCUGGGUCCACCACCCGACUACCCCUUCUGAGAUGCCACAUCCACCAGGACCUUCCGCAUUCCCUUUGGGGUGCUGAGAAACCACACCCCACGUGUGCCCUGUGAAAAGAGCCCUGGCACUCAGAGGCUGGGCGGGUCCCCACCCCGGCUCGCGGCUCGACCACCUCACUCCAAACUGCUGAAGAAAUGGCCCUGGAAGCACGCGUCCAUGAGAAGGUGAGCAGAGCCCAGGCCUCCAGCGCGGGUCCUCGGGUGCAGGCCUGGAUCCUGAGUGUCUGGAGGAGCACGUGGGGGAAGCCAGUGCCCUCAGGAUCCCACAGUCCAGCCCAGCCUCAGGGACUACCCCUGUUUGCCUACACCAGCAGAUGUGCAAUCCACAGGCUGGAGGCGGGGGUACCCUCAUGUGGGAGGGUGUCCGAGGGGGGGCAAGGCCCCGUGGGGCAGGCUGCAGCUGCAGAAAGGAGCCCCCCACCUGGGACAGUACUUCUAGCCCCUGGAGUGGGGGCCGCCGUGCUCCCCUGCCUCAGAUUACUGAGACAUACACCCUGCCCAGCUCAGAGUCCCUCUUGCCAUCACCCAGAUGCCUCCCCUUCUUCUUGGAACUUGGGGGCUGGUGCACCCCUCCCUGAAGACUGCAGAUUCCUCUCGGGUAGAAGCUGUGCAGCCUUCAGCCGCUGACCCCAUCCCUGCCCCCACCCAAGACUGAAGAGCACAGAGGGGCCGACAGGGAAAGGCGGGGACGGCGUGGUCUUCCUGCUCUGUCCCAGCUUCCUUAGCCCGUGGCUCAGCCUUCUCGGAGCUCCAAGACCUGGGAAGACGCCCACCUCCCCCAGUGACCAGAGCGAGGACCUGGGAUUCAGCACUUGCGCUCCGAGGAGGGAAGGGGCCUUGGACGUCCAGCUAGGAGAGUUGGAGGCGGUCAGCCAGGGACGCCUGGUUCUGCAGGAGCCCUGAGAACAGAGGAGACAGUCCCCCAGGCUCAGAGCCCCUCAGGCAUGGUCUUCCUUGGGCGACACUGGGUGCGAUUCUCUGGGAGGGACAGACAAGGCCAAGGACACCCACCCCAGAGCUGGCUCCGAUGCCUGUUCCCUGACAGUGGCCCUGGGCUGGCCCCACAGCCCAGGCUGCCCCUUUCUGAACAGAAGGGAGCGGAGGACCAAGGGGGGUCCAUCCUAGCGAGGGGGUGACCCCACAGAAUGGCCCUAUACAAGGUGAGGGGCACUCCCUGACGACCUGACCCGGCCCUGACCCUACCUCCCCCUUCCCCCUGGCUCCCGGGCUCCCAGUUCCUUGACUUGUUGCAGGGCACAGCUGCGGAUCUAUCACACCCUGCAGCAUGCUCCGAGGGGCCUCCAGGGCUGUCCCCAGUCCUGCCCAGCCAGCUGCAGCUCCCGGGGACACACUCUGCCUUUCUUGAGCUGCUGUCUGGAGAUGGACUCAGAGGAGGGCUGUCUGCUCAGCGCGUCUGCUGCUGGUCCCAGCUCGAUUUCCCCUGUGCAUCCAGACACAGGGGACAGGCUCUGCCUUGAUCUCCAGAAAUGACCCUGGACACCUAGAGAGGCUUUGGAGGGCAGUGGCCACAGGGAGGGUGAAGGACUGGCCUCCCGCUCUUGUCUGGGGCCAGAUCUGGGGCAUCAGGCUGCUGAUGAAGCCAUUCUCGAGUCCUGGGAACCCACCACUGGACUCUAGGCCAUGCCACCCACCGAACGGACAGGACCAGGGUAGGUGAAGAAAGCCAAACCGCGUGACAGACACCUGGGCUGCACCACGGCCCUGAGCCCUCCUCGGGGAGCUGGUGGCCUGGCCGCACAGCGGGUCCCCACUCCCUGCAGCCGCCCCCUCCCCCACUCCAGGGUGGAGAGGCCACCUCUGCAGAUGAGGCAGGGUGGGGGGCUGGGGGGGACCCUUGCCCAGCAGGGCAGCUGGCCUAAGGCCAGGGCGUUCUAACCCUUCCCUCCCACCCCUUCCCUCUCCCCAGGGCCUUUACCUGGGAUGUGUUCAGGCUCCCAGAAAAAUAAACACAUUAACCGCU